GUGCUUUUGUAUUAAACAAAAGGCCUUGCAUUGAUUUAUUCAUAGAUUGAUAAUGGAUUGAGGACAACACACAUGAUAACGAUGGACUCAGGACCACGUCCAUGAAGAUGGUGGACUCAGUACAAUACGAAUGAUUGAUAAUGGAUUGAGGACAACAGACAGGAAGAUGAGGACAACACACAUGAUAAUGAUGGACCUAGGACCACGUCCAUGAAGAUGGUGGACUCAGUACAAUACGAAUGAUUGAUAAUGGAUUGAGGACAACAGACAGGAAGAUGAGGACAACACACAUGAUAAUGAUGGACCUAGGACCACGUCCAUGAAGAUGGUGGACUCAGUACAAUACGAAUGAUGGAUAAUGGAUUGAGGACAACAGACAUGAAGAAGGAGAUGGACCCGGGAC